GGAGGAGAGAAAGAGAUGAAGAGGAGUGAGCAAGGUUUCAGGAGGGGGCACGCAGGAGACCAGCCCUGGAUUCAGACUUGAGCCUGGUCCACACCAGAGGCCGAUAGAAGGCUUGGAUUACAGCAGGGGCAGGUUCUUUCACAAAAUCAAAUUUCUCCACUGAUUUCUGAAUUCACAGCAAGCUAACUAGAAGAGAUUUUUAAUUCAGAAUGCUGCACUCCAACAAACUGAGAAAAACAUUGAGGGAGGGAAUACGGAAAUUUGAUGGUAUCUACUAAGUUUGAUAUUGAGAUUUUUGUAAUAAAUGUUGUUGAAUAAAAAAGGCAUCAAGCCCCUAUAUAUGAGCUCUUUGAAAUGCCGAAAUCAGAGGGAUAAAAUGAAGAAUAAUUACAGUACACAAUUUUUGAAUUAUUGUCCAAUCAACUAAAAUUAGAAGUUUUUAACAUGCUAAAAUGGAAAGUUAUUCAACAGAAUGGAAUCCCUUAAAAUAUGACGGAACUGCCACUUAAGCAUCAGAAGUCUGCUCAGGUGUGACCCUGGGAGCCCAAACUUUUCAUGGAACAGCAAGGAACAUCCCUGUGCUCCUCCUUCCCAGUCUUUUUUUUUUUUUGAGGAAGUCUCGCUCUGUUGCCCAGGCUGGAGUGCAGUGGCGAGAUCUCAGCUCACUGCAAGCUCCGUCUCCCAGGUUCACGCCAUUCUCCUGCCUCAGCCUGCCGAGUAGCUGGGACAACAGGCGCCGGCCACCAUGCCCAGGCACACAAAACCUGCCUUGCCUCUCCCCAGUUUGAACAGUGCUUUUGAACUUUGAUGGAAAAGCCACAUUUGGAAGGUCGUACCACCCUUAACAAACUGCAGUCCCUACUGGCCGUUACACUGCAGAGCCGUGACAAUGAUGGAUCUCCUGUUUGGAAGAGAAUGACCCAGGACAAAAGGGAUGACCAAACCAUGGUCUAAGUAUGAUAUCUGAAGCUGCUUAAUCUGCAAAAGGAAACCCAGUGUGAGGAAUGGGAGAUGGAGAUGUGGAGGCCUAGUGUCUAAGGGCUGGCAUUCAGGCUGCAGCAUCCUCGGGAGACAGCUGGAUCAGCUACAGAGCUUCAGAACGACACACAUCACUCUGCCACGCACACUGCUCCAGCUCCAGCAUCCAACAUCUGACCACAUGUCGGCAGCCACCGCUGACCUGGCUUCACUGUUUCUCCCCAGGUCUAAGCUUAAGCCGCACUGCAUUGCUUCCAUUUCUUCAUGCUUGCUCUGUUCCCUUCUACCACAGGGGCUUUGUGCAAGCUCAGCCUCAACAUGGAUCUUCCCCCUUCUUCACCUGGUCAACAGCCACUCAUUCUUCAACCUUAGUUUGAGCAUCGCCAACCUCCCCGGCUAUGUCAGUUCUCCCUGUUAGACACCCUGGCUGUUCCACAUAUCUUUUAUUCAAAGUAGUUACAUAUUAAAGCAUUCCGUUUGUGCAUACAA